UACGUAGGGGGCAAGCGUUGUCCGGAUUUAUUGGGCGUAAAGAGCGUGUAGGCGGCCAGGUAGGUCAGCUGUGAAAACUCGAGGCUCAACCUCGAGACGUCGGUUGAAACCAUCUGGCUAGAGUCCGGAAGAGGAGAGUGGAAUUCCUGGUGUAGCGGUGAAAUGCGCAGAUAUCAGGAGGAACACCGGUGGCGAAGGCGGCUCUCUGGACGGUGACUGACGCUGAGACGCGAAAGCGUGGGGAGCAAACGGG
rnacentral:rRNA from 1 species